UGGGGGUUAAACGUUGGUAUUUGAUGGUUCUUUCCAAUGGGGGUUAAGCAUUGGUCAUAGUUAAAAGCUAUUAAGUUAUAUAUAUUUUGUUUCAAAUUAGAUUUAUGAUUAUAUAUGCAUAUAAGUAUUUAAAAAGAUUUGAUUUGCAUUAAUUAGCAUAGAAUAUAUAUGUUUAUUUUUGAUAUUUAUUUUCGAACAUCAUAUCUUAUGAUAAUACUGAGAAUGUCUAGUCGAUAUAUUUAUUACUUAUUGGGCUAUCGAACUCAUUAUCUCUCAUAUGUUUUUAGAUUUAGAUUGUUAAUUACAGAC
rnacentral:lncRNA from 1 species